CCCAAAUCUGACAUGUUAAAACAGCCUUUGAUUUUAGAAAGCUUGUACUCGUCACAAGCCAAACAGAUUAGAUUACAUUCUAUACUAACCACACUCUCAAACUAAACAAAGGAUGCUAAUAGUAGAAUUUUGAAUAUAUGCAUUACAUAUGGUGCAGUGGUUGUCUAACAUCAUGGCAAUGCAAUUAAAGACGAAUAUAACCUUACUGCAAAGAACUUGCAAGUCACAAGUACAUAAACAUACCAAAUACAUAAACAUGCAUCUGAACUCUUUGGAAAAAGCUUAUUGUCCCUCAACCUUUUAUUUGAAUCCAUUACACACAUGAACUUUCAUUUCACAACCAGUAGACAUAAAUUGCAGUUAUCAUCAAGAAGUAUUUGCACACGCCCUAUGAAGGUGGCAUAGUGUGAGAAAGACGCCAAUCUCUCUCUCUCUCUCUCUACUGUUUUGCAAUGUGUAUGAUUUGGUUUUGACAGUGCAAACAGAGGCUCACAACAAGCCUAGACUCUCUGUCUGCUUCUCUUCACUCUUCUUCCUCACACUUCUCUGCCCUUUUCCCUUAUAUCUCUCUCUAAAGCUUCCGUCUUUGUUUAUGCAUUUUCUGAUCUCUCUCUACAGUCUUGUCUGUGUCUCUGUCCUUUUUGUACUUAUUAGAAACAAAUACGAACUGGAAUCUCCUCUAUCUUCUCGCAGAUCUCUAUCUCUGCCUGUAUUGGAGACUUGUUGUUAAUGGAUUGGAGUUCUAAUGGUGAUCAAAAUCGGUACUGUGCUAAUUUUAAUGUGGCAAGGGACUGCAUUUUUGGUUUCGAAGUGAUAUAGAUGAAUCCUGCGGAAUAUUGGAAAAGGGUGAUUUUGGUUUGCCACUAACGAUCUCGUUCUUGAGCUUCUGAAAGUAUUUUGAUUCAAGGAUUUUCAUAAUUCUUGUAGAUAAACAAACUUCUUGGUUUUUGCAUGGAAAUUUGGGCAAAAGUUGAAUUAUAUAAUUCAAAGUGAUCAUUGCAAUGGGGGGGCUUUGCUCGAGGAGUUCGGCUGUAGAUAACGCUCCCGGAGGACGCUUUCCGCAUGUGAAUGGUCAUCUUAGUGCCACUGGCUUGGUUUAUCAGUCUGGUGAAUUGAAAAUAAAUAGCAAUACAAUUACAUCUCCAGUUGAGGAGAAUGUUGAAAAUAAGCAAGUAAGAGAACACAUUUCAUUUCCAGAGGUAAAUGUGGUUCCACCAUAUGGGAUGAGCGGGGAUGAUAUUGAUGAUGGUAUUCCUCGUUUGUCAAGGGCUCUAUCAAAUAAAUCUAGAUCAACCAAGUCUAAGCAGGCAACUGUUGCAAAGGUUUCAGAAGUGAGCUCACUUUUAGGCAGAGCUGGGACUGCUGGGCUUGGUAAGGCAGUGGAAGUGUUGGACACACUUGGCAGUAGCAUGACAAAUUUAAAUCUCAGCAGUGGUUUUACCUCUGGAGUGACUACGAAAGGGAAUAAAAUUUCAAUUUUGGCUUUUGAAGUUGCUAAUACAAUUGUUAAGGGAGCCAAUCUGAUGCAAUCCCUUUCAAAAGAAAAUAUUAAGCAUUUAAAAGAGGUUGUGCUUCCAUCAGAAGGGGUUCAAAAUUUAAUAUCAAGAGAUAUGGAAGAACUCUUGAGAACUGCAGCUACUGACAAGAGAGAAGAAUUGAAAGUUUUUUCUGGAGAAGUGGUACGUUUUGGUAAUCGUUGCAAAGAUCCUCAAUGGCACAACUUGGACCGUUAUUUUGAAAAGUUGGGUACAGAACUCACACCUGAGAAGCAAUUGAAGGAAGAAGCAGAUAUGGUGAUGCAGCAACUGAUGACUUUGGUUCAAUAUACAGCUGAAUUAUAUCAUGAAAUGCAUGCCUUGGACAGAUUUGAGCAAGAUUACCGGCGUAAGCUUCAAGAAGAUGAUAGCACAAAUGGUCCCCAAAGAGGUGACAGCCUUGCAAUUUUGAGGGCAGAGUUAAAGUCUCAAAGGAAGCAUGUGAAAGGUUUGAAGAAGAAAUCACUUUGGUCCAAGAUUUUGGAAGAGGUACGAGUCAGUAUUGCUAAUGGUGCAUAUUUUUGGUGGAUGGGCUCUAAUGGUUCUUGAUAAUAUGAUGUUUAACCUUGUUGGUUUUUAUGUUUCCUGAUCAUAUGACGACUAUGAGUGCGCAUCUGUCACAGAUGAUGUUGGAUGGACUAUGCCCUUCCAUCUUUGUCAACUGAUAGUUAUAGAAUCUUUUGUUCUUUAAAGUUGUACUGUACAUGCUAUUACAAUAUACUAUCAGAAGAUAAUGCCAUUUCAUAGGUAAUGGAAAAGCUGGUAGAUAUUGUCCAUUUCUUGCAUUUGGAGAUCCAUGAAGCUUUUGGUAGUGCUGGUAAGCAUUCUGUUUGUGGCCUUGUGACUUUGGAUCUGUGUUUAUUUUAGCUCCAUUCACCAUGUGAGCCUUAGUGUGCUGGUUGAUUUGUGAUAAUAGUUAUUUGUAGGCCUUGUAUAUUUUUUUUGCAAUGGAGAAUGAGAAUGGUUCAUUGUAGGUCCUUGUUCCUGUUUUACUUGUAUACCAUCAAAAUGAAAAUGCAAGUGAUGUCUUAGUAAAUAAGUAUAUUGACACUAUAGAUGGUUGUCCAUUUUGAUGUGUUUUGGAAAAGCUAGAAAAGGAUUUGUGGUUUAUCAAGAUAGCUGGGAUUAGAGCUCAACUGAGUUGAAUUGAGUGUUGGAGAUAGCGGGAAUAUUUUGUGAAUCCAAUGGUAUAUAUUCACAAAUUAAAGAAUUGGCUGUCAGCCAUGAAUUUUGUAUUUCGUAAAAUGUGAAUAUACCAACUACAACCCACAGGGUGUGUUAACAUGCUCAUUAUUUUCUAAGCAUUGUCCAUCUCCUGCAGAUGGACAUUUGGCACUCUCUGCAUUUCACAUCUUAUAUUACCUCAUAUGCCUUUUAGGUUGGAAAAAGCAAAUCCUUAAGCUUAUGUGCAAACUAUUCAUAGGAUUCAUUAAUAUGAUGGAGUUUCUUUUGGUGUUAUUAUUUUAUAGUUGUUAUUACUGAUUGUUCCUAAUGAUUUACUCUGUAACUUGCAGAUGGUGAUAGACCAGUAAAAGGUUCUUUGAGCAAUCACAAAAGAUUGGGCUCUGCUGGUCUUGCAUUGCAUUAUGCAAAUAUUAUCACUCAGAUUGACACUUUGGUGUCCCGAUCAAAUUCUGUCCCUCCAAAUACAAGGGAUGCCUUAUACCAAGCGUUGCCACCCAGUAUCAAAUCUGCCUUGCGCUCCAAAUUACAAUCAUUCCAUGUAAAGGAAGAGGUUUUUUUUUUUUUUCCUCUGAACUUUAUAUUUUAGAUUUAUUUUUUAGUGGGUUGCAAGCCAAAGAAAACUGUCUUAAUUACUUGCCAAUAACUGAUUUAAUUGUUCAUUUCAAAUGUUACUCUUGCAGCUUACAGUCACACAAAUCAAAGCUGAAAUUGAGAAAACUUUGCAGUGGCUUGUUCCAAUUGCUACUAACACAACCAAGUAAAAUAGCCAACUUUAUAUACUAAAUUUCUUUGUCUUGGUCAAACUUUGCUUAGGUCUGUUAUCUAAUUUUAUAAUUUGUUAAAUUCCUUUGGAGGGGCAUGCCACAUCAUUUCAUUCAUAAAGAAUCCUGAUAGUCUGAUACUAUCACUAUGGCAACUUACUGAGCUAAUUUUGGUUUCAUGAUUGAAAUUAUGCACUGAUGUGGCUGUGAUGUGAACAACUGAUUUCUCAUGACCAUAUUAUUUAUUCAAUGUAUAAUGCAUCUUUGUGGUCUUAGCCCACUGUCUGAUUAUUUAUGCUUGUUUUGUUGUUCUCCCAAAUUGAUUGGCAACCAGAGCUCAUCAUGGAUUUGGUUGGGUUGGAGAAUGGGCAAAUACGGGGUCUGAGGUGAAUCGGAAACCUACUGGACAGACAGACUUGCUCAGAAUUGAGACCCUACACCAUGCAGAUAAAGAGAAGACUGAAUCUUACAUUCUUGAAUUGGUGGUUUGGCUUCACCAUCUUGUGAGCAAAGCAAGGGCAAACAAUGGUGGAAUCAGAUCUCCAGUAAAAUCUCCAAUUCGAUCACCCAAUCAGAAGAUGAUUCAGUUAUCUACCGACAAGCCGAACUCUUCAUCGCCCAUGCUGACAGUUGAAGAUCAAGAGAUGCUUCGAGAUGUGAGCAAGAGGAAAAAGACACCUGGGAUAAGCAAGA
rnacentral:misc_RNA from 1 species